UUUAUAGCCUGAUAGGCUUGGACAUAAUUGUCUACAUGUACUGCUCAGUAGGCGACAUCCUUUGGGAAAUUGAGGAUGUCCUCGUGCAUUUUCUAAAUACAAUUGUGGCAGCUCUGAGGAAGGAGGGGAGGAAUAAUCUCGCGGGAGAGUUCGGUGCAGAGGAAGAAGAACAAGAUAUUAUUUAUUUCUUGUGAACAGUCAAGCUUGUGCAUUGUCCCACUGUAAGUUAUUUCAACAAUACUAGUAACUGUUAUCUCUGGCCAUCUGUCGCGACAUUUUCUUUAACCACCAAUGCAUAUUUAUUUUCUUGUUAAUAACUCUCAUAAUUGCCUGCUACUGUUUCAGUUCUGGGGCCAGGCAACCUUGAAUCCAACGUCCACCUGCAGGCUACAUCUCAGGUAGGAUAAAAAGAUUGCAGUGAACUUGAUGGGUAUAUCAUUAUUGUUGCCUCCUAAUUUGUGUGAUGAGAAAAUGUGUAGAUUGUGUGUAAAUCCGAGAUGCCUAAAACAGUUGGGAAGUGAACUUGUUACCUCGGUUCAGUUUAAUGGCAUGUUAAACUCGAUGCACUUUCUGGACUGUGACAUUUUUCCUGAAAUUUUGGAAGUGACUGCUAAUGUAGUCUAAAUAGAGUGACUGAGUAGUUACUUCCUCACAAGAGUUGACUUCCCGUUAUUACUUGCUAAGAUGGAUUGGUGGUUUUUAUGUUAGAUGAAAAAUAUUACAUCAAUCUUUACGGCUUUUUAUGGGCAAGUGAUUCCGAGUCCAUAAUAAGGAAUAAUAUAGCCCCAGUGCUGUGAUAAUGUUAAAACAUUUACCUCUUUUAUCGGUUCAAGUAAUGUAUUUGCUGCGAAAAAAUGGUCUUAUAUCAAAUAAUAGCCUAGAGCUUUUGGAGUGUUAUUACUUGUAUUUGUUGCUUGGAUGUAUAAACCUUCAGCAGACUGUCAGUUUUGCUUUUAUAUAAUCUGUUUGUUUAAGUCUGCUGCAUAUUGGUCAAAAGCUCAUGCUAAUUGAUGAUGUUAGGUGAUGAUCUUGUAUCUAACAGUGAUUUCUGAAUGCAUGCUAAAGAAAACUCAUGAACAUCAUGGCGCCUUGUUGAUGGGGUGAUCAAUAGCUACAAUAUUGGGACCCUGCACUUAAAUUGUAGGUCUGAUUUUGUUUUGGAGUUCUCCUGCUACCCACAAGCUCAGAUAGUUCUUUUGUUUGUGCAGGGGAAAUUGCAAAGCAUAUUAUGAAUUGUUACAAGAAACUAUUUCCGCUGUUUUGGUGCAAGGAUGUUGCUUUUUAGUAUGCUUCCCGUAUCUUGGUAUCUUGGAAUAAUAAACAGAUAGAUGUCGUGUACCAAGAUUGUUCCUUGUUGUUAAGAGGGAUACAAAUAUUAUACAAGAAUUUUUCUGAUGACUCCUAAAGCAUAUUUGGAUAUACAGCAAAGUAUAUUGUCGCUUCCCUGUUAGUAAAACAAUUAUGUUAGAAAUUUGGUUGGCAGCCCCUACAUUUGGCUGAUUGCUAGCUGACUGGAUUACUCAUGUUUGCCGACUCUGGUAACUUACGCCUACCAAGAACUACAUGAAUUUUGUGUCUUGCUGCAGUGAACAUUACCAAACUAAUUCUAAAGGUGUUAUAAUCAUGUUUUCUUUUGCAUUAUCAACUUUUAACUUUUGUCAUUUGUUAACACAUUCCUUUUGCAUUAUCAACUUUUAACUAUUGUCAUUU
rnacentral:lncRNA from 1 species